rnacentral:lncRNA from 1 species
GAUGAACCAAAUCCAGAACAUGAACCAUAAAAGAAAAUACCUAUUAAACCGAUUACAAGAAUACCAGCUACAGUACCUAUUAUCCAAAGAGGAAUCCUUCCAGUAGUAUCGGCCAUUUAAUGAACCAUAAAAGAAAAUACCUAUUAAACCGAUUACAAGAAUACCAGCUACAGUACCUAUUAUCCAAAGAGGAAUCCUUCCAGUAGUAUCGGCAAUUUACCC